CUCCCUGUAGCUCAGUUGGUAGAGCAUGGUGUUUGCAACACCAGGGUUGUGGGUUCAAUUCCCACGGGGGGC
rnacentral:tRNA from 1 species